UCCGGUUUGUCACCGGCAGUCUCCCUAGAGUUCCCACCAUUACGUGCUGGCAACUAGGGACAAGGGUUGCGCUCGUUGCGGGACUUAACCCAACAUCUCACGACACGAGCUGACGACGGCCAUGCAGCACCUGUGUUCUGGUUCUCUUUCGAGCACUCCCAAAUCUCUUCAGGAUUCCAGACAUGUCAAGGGUAGGUAAGGUUUUUCGCGUUGCAUCGAAUUAAACCACAUCAUCCACCGCUUGUGCGGGUCCCCGUCAAUUCCUUUGAGUUUUAGCCUUGCGGCCGUACCCCCCAGGCGGGGCGCUUAAUGCGUUAGCUGCGGCACGAAGGACGUGGAAUGUCCCUCACACCUAGCGCCCAACGUUUACGGCAUGGACUAC
rnacentral:misc_RNA from 1 species